AGCUCACCACAAUGUCAAUAUAUUGUUUGUUUGUUUGUUUUUUGGUCAGUAAUGUCAUUACAUUGUUGACCAUAAAAAAAAAAAAAAAGAAACUUAACAAAAUAUAAUGAUAUACUUUACAACAGUUAAUUUGAAAAUAAAAAUUUUAAUCCGUGUGAACCCCACAAGGUCCCAUUGAAAAAACAAAAUAAAAGGCUGGACUAAUUUGCUUAGAACCAACUGAUAAAAAGUGUACAUUAAAAAGGGAUAAUCCAAAAUCAUAGGUUAGUCACUCUUCCACCAACAGCAAGCAAGCUGUCCGAAAAGUACAUUUUUUGACUGAGAUCGCAUGCUAAUGAAAAGCUAAUUACUAUGAAAAUAGAAAAAUAAUAAUAACAACAAAAGAGUAUGAGCUGGAAAAUUAAUAUUCAUGUCAAAGCCGAAUUGGCAAUCAUAGUCCAAUUGAACAGUUACAUCAAUAUUCUUUUCCUUUUUAAAAUAAGGAAACCACCAUCCCUAUUCUUCAAAUGUGCUCUGAGUAAACUCUGUUCAACUGUAAUAGUCGGUGGUUGGCCACACAAAAAACGUAAAUUACAUUAGUCAAACCUCAUGCGACAAACUCAAUCAAGAAAUACAUGCAGGUGAUAUCGAACCCUAAAAUCUCAGUUGGAGAUUCUUUGCUCAAUCAACUCGGCCACGACCGAAGAUGGCAGUUACAUGAAUAUUCCAUUCACCAAUAAUUAAAGAACUCUUUGUUUUGGAUUUUUUUUUUUUCUUUUGGAGGGGAUAGAGAUAUAGACCAAAAAAAGGAUUUGACUUGUCAUUAUUUUGUCAAGCGUGCAGGUCCUCAGAUUUGUUCAAAUCCCUAUUGCUUCUAUCAUAAGAUCUCAGAAACCAAUCAAAAUUGAAAUGUGAUUUGAUUUGCAUGCAAUAUGCAGAUAUUAGAAAAGUUUCACGUGCUUAUCUCUAAGAUACUAGUAUAGUGUACAAUUAUUCUUAUCACUUAUCAGCCG
rnacentral:lncRNA from 1 species